ACCAUUUCUAAAAGAUAAGAUUAAUCUUCCAAAAAUCUAUUUGAGUAAUUUGGCAACGCGACGAUAAGAUAAAAAAAUAUUCCUGAAAGAUACAGCUAAUAAUCUUGAAAAAUAUUCGAUAAUUUUAGCAACGCACCCCAAUAUUUUCUGCUGUCACAUCACACGUGGUUUAAUUUGUGCAGAGUAUAAAAUUCAUUUCGCCGGAACAUUUCGAGAAAAUUCCACUGUUUCGGGAUUAUUCGGAACGCAACAUUACCGGUUCCGAUGGUGCGAAGGAUCGGUUGGCGACAGCGCCAGUUCUGGUUGUGCGAGGUCGCAGCUAGCCGGAUGUCUUUUGAUCAAAACGCAGACGCCAGAAUUAACUUAAGGAUCCCUUUUAACGGAAACAUUAUUAUGUUAAGCCGGUCCGCUAGGCAAUAGCACCGGUUCUAACGGUGGGAGGACAACAGAAUCGACAACAGCACUAACCAGGUUAGCAUCGGAAACAGCAGCACGACGACACUAUUUGAAGUGUGAACAGUGUUUUUUUUUGAAUUUGUGUGUAUUUUAAAAUAAUUAUAUGUAUGUGUUGUGAAUAAAAUGCUUUAAUUUUUAAA